CAAUGACAUCAUGAAAUUUGAAGGCAAAUGGAUAGAACUAGAAACAAUCAUCCCGAGUGAGGUAACUCAGACCCAGAAAGACACACACAGUAUGUACUCACUCUUAAAUGGAUAUUAGAUGCAAAACAAAGGAUAACCAGGCUACAGUCCACAACCCCAGAGAAGCUAGGUAAAAAGGACCCUAAGAGGGACACACAUGGAGAGCCCCAAGAAAGGAAAAUAGUUAAGAUCUCCUGGGUAAACUGGGAGGGAGGUUAGAUGGAAAGGGAUAGUGGAUGGGAACAGGAGUGACUGAGAUGGCCAAGUGGAGGGAGGGACAGAGAGGGAGCACAAUGAAAGAGAUAUCCUGGUAGAGGGAACCAUUAGGGGGUUAGGGAGAAACCUGGUACUGGAGAAAUCCCCAGAAAUUCACAAGGAUGACUCCAGCUAAAACUCCUAGCUAUAAUGGAGAGGGUACCUGAACUUAUCUUCCCUUAUAAUCAGAUUAGUGACUACCCUAAUUGUCAUCAUAGAACUACAUCCAGUAACAGAUGGAAGCAGAUACAGUGAUCCACAACCAAGCACUGGGCUGAGCUCCUCGACUUCAAUUGAAGAGAGGGAGGAGGGAUCUCAGGAGCAAGCAAGGUCAAGAUCAUGAUGUGGAAAACCAUAGAGACAGCCCCUCGCUUGGACAUGGUGAAUGGGUGGUGUAGUGGGUAGCCAUUCCAGCUUUGAUCUGGAAGUUCCAACCCCCAUUGAGACUUCGGCAACUGUCACACCUACAAGGCAGGGCCAAGGGAGGCGCCUGGAGACUCGAGAUCUGGAUGGGCCAGUGCUCUCUCUGUUCCGGGACCCUGGACGAUGGAGGUGGGCCAAGAAGAGCUCCAGAGAACACCGCUGGACUGCGAUACACCUUCCCCAGACCCCACGACCUACCUAUCCCUUAAUUUGUAAGUUACGCCAUUAAAUAAAUCUCCUUUUAACUACA